GUAGGGUGCAAGCGUUAUCCGGAAUCAUUGGGCGUAAAGAGCUCGUAGGCGGUUCAGCAAGUCGGCUGUGAAAUCCCGAGGGCUUAACCUCGGAACUGCAGUCGAUACUGCUGUGACUAGAGUCCGGUAGAGGAGAAUGGAAUUCCCGGUGUAGCGGUGAAAUGCGCAGAUAUCGGGAGGAACACCAGUAGCGAAGGCGGUUCUCUGGGCCGGUGCUGACGCUGAGGAGCGAAAGCGUGGGUAGCAAACAGGAUUAGAUACCCUGGUAGUCCACGCCGUAAACGUUGGACACUAGGUGUGGCGUUCCGACCAACGGGUGCCGUGCCGAAGCUAACGCAUUAAGUGUCCCGCCUGGGGAGUACGGCCGCAAGGCUA
rnacentral:rRNA from 1 species